rnacentral:rRNA from 1 species
UACGAAGGGGGCUAGCGUUGCUCGGAAUCACUGGGCGUAAAGCGCACGUAGGCGGAUUUUUAAGUCAGGGGUGAAAUCCUGGAGCUCAACUCCAGAACUGCCUUUGAUACUGGGAAUCUCGAGUCCGGGAGAGGUGAGUGGAACUGCGAGUGUAGAGGUGAAAUUCGUAGAUAUUCGCAAGAACACCAGUGGCGAAGGCGGCUCACUGGCCCGGUACUGACGCUGAGGUGCGAAAGCGUGGGGAGCAAACGGG